UACGGUAGGGUGCGAGCGUUGUCCGGAAUUAUUGGGCGUAAAGAGCUCGUAGGCGGUUUGUUGCGUCUAUCGUGAAAACCUGCAGCUUAACUGUGGGCUUGCGGUGGAUACGGGCAGACUUGAGUUCGGUAGGGGAGACUGGAAUUCCUGGUGUAGCGGUGAAAUGCGCAGAUAUCAGGAGGAACACCGGUGGCGAAGGCGGGUCUCUGGGCCGAUACUGACGCUGAGGAGCGAAAGCGUGGGGAGCGAACAGG
rnacentral:rRNA from 1 species